AAGCGCCCUCCUUGCUUGGUAAGGUGUCUGGUUACACAAAGGGAGUUUGGCACCUAAAUGGGUGAAAAUACAUCACUGUGAGGACCAGAAGCAAAGGGAAAGGAAGAGAUCCAGUGAGCAUCCUGGGAAAGUGAGUGAGGGGAGACCUACCUCGGGUAUUUGCAGCGAUAAGUAAGGGUUUUGUGUGCCUUUAUCAAAGGCACGUUUCAGCAGAAUCAGCCAGUAGCAAUGAAGAAAACGCUGCUGGCUUUUUCCGUCUGUCUCCACCUCAGAAGGCACCCUGCUUAUUACUUCGCUUGCGUUCAUGUUCUGACAAGCAGACAGCAGCAUUCCCAGAAGAAGCAGAAGACAUCAGCCCCAACCUAAAAAUGCCAGCUGAGUAUUAAAUCCUUUGUGCAGCCAGAGGAGACAGUCAGUGAUAACCAGUCACUUUAACUUACACAACGUUAACCUCACCUCCUCUGUAAGUUGUAUUUUUAACAUUUGGUUUGAAUGUGUGUGUUUACACACAAGCCACAAAGUUUUUUUUUACUUUUAAUUCUUUAAUAUUUUACUUGGGUCGGUUUUAACACAAUAAAACUAACCCCUUAUUUGUUUGACACAGGAAAAAUCCUUCCUGCUUAGUUCUUUAUCAUCCAAAUGGGCUAAGAAAAGAACAGAGCCAUUCCCCACUUUUGCACUUGGCCAUAACAAAAUGCUUGUGUGCAAUAAAUUUAAAUUUAAUUUUCUACAUGAUUAGAGACUUUAUAAAUUGUCUUUAAUGCUUUUCUGCACUGCAGACUCCUGCUAAAUUUUAUUCCCAGUGUCCUUUCCAAUUAUUGUUCUAGUGCUCAUUCUUCCUGAGCAGACUUCACUAUGAGUCUUGUCAGCAGUUGGUUGAACUGUGGAAGGCGUCAAAACUCAGUUUUUAGUGCCCUUGCCUUGACCUGACAUAAACAGUAAACACACUACUAUAUUUUUCCAUUGCUGAACAUAGAAGCAUCGAGGAUAAUUGCGGAUCAAAAAUUAUGGUUUCAGCUGAGAUUGGAGGUGGGGAUGGAAUCAAUCCACUGUGACCUGCGUGGCUCAGCACUGCCCUCCCAAUGCAUACAAAUCUGAAUAAAUCCUGGCAGUGCGGAAGCAGGCCAUUCGACCCAUAAAGUUCACGCUGGCCCUCCAAACAGCAUCCUUCCAGACCUACACCCACCCUCCCAACCUUAUUCCUGUAACCCUGCAUUCCCCAUGGCUAAUCUACCCACCCUGCACAUCCCUGGAGUGUGGGAGGAAACCGGGGGACCUGUAGGAAACCCACGUGGACACGGGGAGAAUGUGCAGACUUCACACAGUCACCCGAGGGUGCACCAGAACUGUGCAGGGUGGCACAAUGGCUCAAUAGCCCUGCUGCCUCUCGGCACCAGGGGCACAAGUCCAAUUCAAUUCAAGUCCAGUUCAGUCCCAACUUUGGAUUGUAAAAUUAUUAUCUGAGAUAUCCUGACAUGUCAUUGUUUUCGGUUUGUGCUGUUGCUCUGAAUAUUUCCAGACGUGGAAAGCCAUUUGUUAUUCGAGGGUACAAUAGCGAUUAUUGAUCCAGAAUGGGAGUAUUUCAAGUACCUUAAAAUGCUCCAUUAAUAAGAUGAAUAAUUUACAAAGAAGCUCAGUAGCUUAAAAAAAUUGCAAAAAUCUUGAUGUGAGGCCUAGCCUGACACAUCAUGAUUAAUAGAGCACAGCUGGCAGAGUUCCUGCAAUUAAAACAAAUCUAUCACUUUCAUUUCCAAAGAUUUUGAAAAUGCAGCAUUUUAGUUGGAGGCAGAAUCACAGAAUUGUUAUGGCACAGAAGGCUGCCAUUCAGCCCAUCAUGCCUAUACCAGCUAGCUAAAUGAGCAUCAUUACCUAGCACCAGUCUCCUCCUUUCUCCCAGGCCCUUGCACAUUAUUUUUAUCCAGAUAGCCAUCCACGUCUCUCUGGAAUGUCUCGAUUGAAUCUGCCUCCACCAAAAUUCCAGGUAGCGUGUUCCAAACCCUAACUACUCACAGUGAUAAAGUUUGCUGUUCUUGCUUCUCUUGUAGAUCACUUUAAAUCUAUGCCCUUUGUUCCCUUUAUGAUCUGGAACAAUUUCUCCCUGUCUACCCAAUCCAGCCCCAUCAUGAUUUUCAAGUCCUCAAUCCGAUCUCUCAGCUUUCUCCUCUCCAAGGAAAACGGUCCCAAAUUCUUCAAUGAUAACAAAGUGUGGAGCUGAAUGAACACAGCAGGCCAAGCAGCAUCUUAGGAGCACAAAAGCUGACGUUUUGGGCCUAGACCCUUCAAUCAAUCUUACCAACUGAAUUUUUUCCUUAAUCCCUGAAACAAUUUUGGAAAUUGUUUCUGCGCUCUCUCCAAUACGUUCACAUCUUGUUGAUGAUGGGACACCCGCAGCUUGACACAAUAUUCUGGCUGAGAUCUAAGAAGUGUGUUGUACAAUUUCAAAAUUAACUUCCUUAUUCUUGUAUUCCAAAUAUAGGGCUGUCCAUACAAAGUGAAUGUAUCUGCUGACAUCAAAGUGCCCCAUCUUUGAAAGACACAAAACAGCCGACAAGGGUUAAAACAAAAUUGGGUAGCCUGCUUCAACAUUUAAGUGUAACACAAUGGUACCUUUGAACAAGGCUACCCCAAUAUUAGUAAAAGAGCCUUACCACCAACCAGUUUUGAUAAGAAAAUGCCGAAGAACAGACAAAUGAUUAACUCUAGCCUCAAUAAUGAAAGAAGGAUUGUCCCGGUUAGUGAAUAACUGAGCCCAUCAACUAGCCAAGAUUAACUCCUUAAAUAGCUGCAAAGACAACAGCUAAAGAUAUUUUGUAGUAAUCAGCUUUUUACCUACAGUAUUCAGAAAUAGGCUUUAGUUAAAGAUUAUUCAGAUAAUCAUGGAAAUGGGUUCAACUUAUAACCAGAAUAUAAUGCAAGCAGUUAAAAAAUAAUUUAAACCUGGAUGUGAAAGUUGAUUAGCCUUAGGAAACACCUUAUUUUAUGCCCUGAGCAAGAUAGAUUGCUCACAACCCAUUAAUUACUAUGUGCUAAGGGUAGAAGUAGCUUUACAACUUUAGAUUUUAGAAUUAAUAAUAGAAGUUAACCUUAUAGCAAUUAGUUAAAACUAACUGUCUUUUGUAUUGUUACAUGUAUAAUUAGGACAGUAAGACAUUUGAAAGAAGUGGCUGAAUUUGAUAAAAGAAAGCGCAUGUAGUAGAAUGAAUGAUAGAACGGACCUGAGAGAUAAGCAGCUUGAGACAGAUCCGAAGGAGAGUAGCCGGCAACUUUGGAAUGCGAAUGAAUAGGAUGCAUAGAAAGAUCCCAAGGCCUAGCAAUUACAAAUUCCAUAAGGCCAUGGGAACCUGUGGCUGUCUGUAGGAAUGCCCAUCAUUGAAUAGGUGUCCCACAGGAUUGGGUGUAUGUAUUAAGAAGGAAGGACAGUGACUAUGUUGUAUUUGAUCAUUGUAACAGAAAAUGUAUAAAAUGCUGCAUUUUCACUGGAAAAACCAGAGUGUGUCAUUAAUGUCUCUUCUGAUCUGAGCCAAAGUUUAAGGGAAACAUUACUUUCUCACGUUGAGGCCAGAUUUGAGGAAGAUCCUUUGGUCCUCUCCCUGCGUUGACCAGUUUCUGCUUGAAUAAACAUCUUCCACUUGCCUGAAUCCUGCCUGCCUCCUCAAUUUUUGUCCCUGGUCGUGGGGUACAGCCCUACAAUAAAGCUGAUGAAUUAUUUG